rnacentral:rRNA from 1 species
GGCGGACUGCACCGCUGCGGAGAGGGAUCGCUGCUGGCUCCCACCUAACGCCGGGAGUAAUGUGCACUCCCUAAACCAUUCCCAUCAACACCUGUGCACCUUUUAUGGGAUGAAGUCUCUGGCCUCGUCCUAUUUACACUACACCCAGUUUGUAAAUGCAUGUCUUUGUUCUAAGGAACGCAAUACAACUUUCAACAACGGAUCUCUUGGCUUUCGCAUCGAUGAAGGACGCCGCGAAAGUGCGAAACGUAAUGUGAAUUGCAGAAUUCAGUGAAUCAUCGAAUCUUUGAACGCAUCUUGCGCUCCUUGGUAUUCCGAGGAGCAUGCCUGUUUGAGUGUCGCGUGUGAGUGUGAAGCUCUCAACCCCCAGGCCUGUUAAAGGGUGGGGGGUUGGAUGUGGACGUCUGCCGCAUUUGCGGCUCGUCUUGAAAUGUAUUAGCCGGUCUCUGACCUUGGUUUMUAAUGACGGUGUGAUAAGAUGCCUCUGUGUAACGCUGUUMUUGAAU